UACGGGGGGAGCAAGCGUUGUUCGGAUUUACUGGGCGUAAAGGGCGCGUAGGCGGUCGUGACAAGUCACUUGUGAAAUCUCCGGGCUUAACUCGGAACGGUCAAGUGAUACUGUCGGACUAGAGUACAGAAGGGGCAACUGGAAUUCUCGGUGUAGCGGUGAAAUGGCGUAGAUAUCGAGAGGAACACCUGCGGCGAAGGCGGGUUGCUGGGCUGAUACUGACGCUGAGGCGCGAAAGCCAGGGGAGCGAACGGG
rnacentral:rRNA from 1 species